GAACCGUCCAAACGUUUAUUCGGAAUCACUGGGCUUAAAGGGUGCGUAGGCGGCCUGGCAAGUUGGGUGUGAAAUCCCUCGGCUCAACCGAGGAACUGCGCUCAAAACUGCCUGGCUAGAGGGAGAUAGAGGUGAGCGGAACUUAAGGUGGAGCGGUGAAAUGCGUUGAUAUCUUAAGGAACACCGGUGGCUAAGGCGGCUCACUGGAUCUCUUCUGACGCUGAGGCACGAAAGCCAGGGUAGCGAACGGGGAUUAGAUACCCCGGUAGUCCUGGCUGUAAACGAUGAGCACUUGGUUGGAGGCUCCCUCCAUAGGCUUCCCGGCCGAAGCGAAAGUGUUAAGUGCUCCGCCUGGGGAGUAUGGUCGCAAGGCUG
rnacentral:rRNA from 1 species